rnacentral:rRNA from 1 species
AGGGAGCAAGCGUUAUCCGGAUUUCUUGGGUGUAAAGGGUGCGUAGACGGGAUAACAAGUUAGUUGUGAAUCCCCUCGGCUUAACUGAGGAACUGCAACUAAAACUAUUAUUCUUGAGUGCAGGAGGGGAAAGUGGAAUUCCUAGUGUAGCGGUGAAAUGCGUAGAUAUUGGGAAGAACACCAGUGGCGAAGGCGACUUUCUGGACUGUAACUGACGUUGAGGCACGAAAGUGUGGGGAGCAA